UGGCUUUGACGAUGGCCACUUCCAGAUCUGGAGCUAUGUUGCUGGCGACCUUGGCUAUGCUGAUGCUCGUCUGGUCCUUCACCACGCCGAUCGCUUUGCGUAUGCUCAACGCCAUGGUGGUUAGGUUUGACUCAAACUCUUCAAUUGAAAAAAAAAACAGAGCAAAAAAAGAAAAAAACAGAGCAAGUUCGUUGAGAGAUUGAAGGAGAUUUCGAGUUUAAUCAGCGAAGAUCGUUACGAAAAUUGAAAAUUGAAAAUUGAAAAUUGAAAAUUGAAAAUUGAAAAUUGAAAAUUGAAAAUUGAAAAUUGAAAAUUGAAAAUUGAUAUAUUAGUUUUGGUAGAAAUAUUCUUUAGAAAAAUACCUUUCUUUCGCUAGAUCUGAGGGAGAGAGAAGUGUUCUCCGGUGGAGGAAAUGUUAUUUCUCAGGCGGAGGAGACGGAAUCGGGAUCUGAGAUCUAUGAGGAAGGUGAAGAAGAUCUCAUAUUACGACUUAUUUGGCGGUGUGACAGAUCCAUCGAACGAGUCCAAGAUGAAGUGGCUUUAGACAGAGGGAGAGGAUUUAAAGAGAGCUUGAGUUGAGGAUGACGUGGAUUAAUGAAAGCCGUUUGAUCUAAAGGAGAUGCGAUAUUUUUGUAACCGGAACUAACGGAGCCGUUUUGUCUGAGUCUCAGACUCUCUGGUCUGAACACUGUUAGUGAUUUUUCUUUUUUUCUUUUUUUUUUGUGAAAAGCAAUGUCAACGUUUUGUAGGAGUUUUUAUAAGUGUUUACAGCUGUUUUAUAGUUUCUUUUACCAGAUUAAUCUCUUUAUAUUUCUAAAAAAUAGUAUUUUUAUUAAUUUGUGCAGAUUUUAAUUUUGUUUUCUUAAAAAUAUUAAACAAAAUUUAGAUAGAAAUUCCUUUACUGUUAAUUUUAACAAUAAUUAAUUGUGACAACAAAUAAUUUUCAUAAAAUAUCUCAGUACAUAUUUAAAUUACCUAAUAAUAAUAAUAAAAUGAGAACUAAUAAUAAUAACAAAAUGAGAAAAUAUUUUCAUUUAGUAUUUUCAUGAAAUACUCAUAAAACAUGUUACUUUAUGAAUGGUACAACUUAAAGAAAUAAAAUUAAUUGCAUUAUUAAUUUAUAAUAAAAUAUUAAUAUUUUGUAAAAAAUCAAGAAUGAAGAAGAUGUCAUAGAUCGAGACGCUCUUACACCCUGACGACAGAAUUACUUAGUAGAAACUGAAGUACAUCUUCGUAAAAAAGGCUAAAACUGAAGUACGUUUCUUCUUUGUUUCCCUGUUAAACUUCGAUCAUUCCUUGACACGGCGCUAAACAUGUCAUUAAGCAUUAAAUAUGUAUAUUACAAUGCAAAUCUGUGACUAUCAUAAAAGGCUUGUAAUUGAGAUCUAAUCAUGUCCAAUCACUCCCGUGGAAGCAUAUACUCCAAUAAGCGGCAUGCCAAUAUUAUAUUCUUUCAUGUCAUUUCAUUUUUGUUUAUUCAUGAUUAUCCAUCUUGUUCUGAUUUGUUCAAAAUUUAUGAUUUUGGAUCAUCUCUAUAUCAAUUUUAAGUGGUUUCAGAUAUUUAAACCAACCAGAUCAAGUGACAUGCCCAAACCCAACCAGUCACGAAAUUUGAUAUCAUGGUUCCACAUCCAUUGAUCUCAGUAUAUGUUCCUAGUUCUUUUGUUUUUCCUAGUUUUGAUCGCGCUAACAGAAUGAAAAUAGCGGCUGGUUUUAAUUCUCCGACAAGAGAUAUGCUGUCGCCGACGUUGUUUCCUCUCUUCUGCGUUUUGUUUCUCUGCUUUCCAGUUGCUGUCAUCUUCACAGUCCAGCGAGAAAUCACCGCCGCUACUUCGCCGGAGUUUGGCUUCCACUCACGAAAUCUACACGCUUCUACUUCGGUGGUUCGAUUUCGUCAGCAGAUUCCUAAAGACGACGAACAGCUUCUCCGACUCGCUUCCCGGGUCAACCCGAACCAGCCUUCUCCCGGGUCGAUCCGGAAGCUGGCUUUUAUGUAUCUAACGACGGCGCCUCUUCCGUUCGCGCCAUUGUGGGAAACGUUCUUUAACGGAAGCAGCAAGGAACUCUAUAACGUCUACGUUCACGCGGAUCCGACCCGAGAGUAUGACCCGGCGUUCGCCGGCGUGUUUGAGAAUCGAGUCAUUCACUCGAAGCCCUCGGAACGGAACACACCCACUCUCGCUUCAGCGGCGCGUCGGCUAAUAGCUCACGCGCUUCUCGACGAUCCACAGAACUACAUGUUUGCUCUCUUCUCGCCUUCAUGCGUACCCAUUCGCUCCUUUGACUUCACUUACAAGACGUUGGUCUCGUCUCGCAAGAGCUUCAUCGAGUUACUCAAAGACGAGCCGUUGCAGUUCGAAAGAUGGGCCGCGCGCGGGCCCAUCGCGAUGCUGCCGGAGGUGAGGUUUGACGAUUUUCGGAUAGGGUCUCAGUUUUGGGUUCUGAAACGGAGGCACGCGCUUGUGGUGGCGCGUGAUCGGCGUAUCUGGGAGAAGUUUAACAAGACGUGUUUGUGGGAAGGCUCGUGCUUUCCCGAGGAAAAUUACUUUCCGACACUUCUUAAUAUGAAGGACCCGCGCGGGUGUGUCCCAGCUACGCUCACGCACGUGGACUGGACCAUCAACGAGGAAGGCCACCCGAGGAUGUAUGAGCGAGAGGAAGUGGUACAUGAGCUGAUAGUGCGGUUGAGGAACACGCGACCGAGAUACGGUGAGGAUGGAAUCAACGGUUCGGAUUGGACAAUUGGGAGGAGUGAUCCGUUUCUGUUUGCUAGGAAGUUUUCUCCCGAGGCUCUGGAGCUGUUGAUGGGUAUGGCUCGAACCGUGUUGUUCAAUGACUCGGCAUGUGGUGCGUGAAUGGUUCUCUGAUGGCUUUGUUGUAAAUUUAGAUGUAGUUUUAGUUCUUUUGUUUUGGUUAAAAAGUAGAAGAAAAAUCAUUGUAAAUCUAUCAUUAUCCAAGGGGUUUGAGCUAGACGUCAAAGCUCAUCGUCAUAGAUUCGCAACUGAAGUUAAGCGUCAGCAAAUUAAUUUACCUCACAAUCACUUACCAAUGUAGUGGGAAGGAAAUGAAUAUAUAUAUAUAUAUGUAUGCAUGCCAAAGUACCUCAAAAUCUUGGGUUAGUCUUCAGUACAUCUCAAAUGGAUAUAAGCAAUUUACUUUUAAUCUUCAGUUCAAGAGAUUUUACAAGUUAGAGAAUCAAAUACAGGAUCAGGAGAGAUGCAAGAAAUUAUCUAAUGUUUCAUGUUAUUCAUUGGCUUAUUAUUCUGUUGUAAGGAGCAAGUGGUAAUACAGUUAUCUAUGUUUAGCACACAUAACUUGGGUUUUAGUACAUUAUUGAAAUGAUGGUGCCAGUUUGUUGUCUGGUGGCUUUAGUUGCUGGUUCGUUUUAAUAUUCAGAUUCUAUUUAUUUUCAUUGGUUUCAUUUACCACUGAAAAAGAGUGUUUUUUGACAAAAAAAAAGAAAAAAAGGAGUGGUUUAUUUAGCAGGAAAACUGAUAUACAAGAGAACAUGAAGUAUGCCUAUAUAGCCUGUUUGCGUACAAGCCAAACAUCAAAUAGCUACAAACAAACUUAGUCACCUGAUAUUUUAACAAAAACAGAUUAUCACACAGAAUAUAAAAUAAUUACAUUUACCAAUCGCUACUCGCUUGCUUCACCCAACUCAAACCAAAGGGGGCAAAGAUAACCAGGCGACCUCAGAAGAAUUCAAUGUUUUACAAUAGGUAUAAACGUUCAAGAAAAAAAUGGGUUUUAAAUGACAUUAUUAAUCAAACUCAAAAGAUAAACAGUCUUCAAGCAAACUCAUAACCAGGAAGAUACAAGAAGCAACCGGAUUAUAACACAAGAAACAUGAGGUACCAUCUGUGUAUUGGUCGAAAAAUAUUAUAUAUUUAUGUAAAGAAAAGAACAAAGCUCAGUAAGGGUUGUUGUAGUAAUACCCCAUCGGUGGCGGUCCCAUCCCGUUAACCGGUGGCAUCCCAUAAGGCAUUCCGUUUGGGGCAGGACUCAUCUUAGCCAAACUAGCUUGACCUCUCAUCCCUUCUUGCUGAUACUGCUGCCAUAGCUGCUGCUCCUGAGUCAAAAGAUACUGCUUUUUGUCCAUCUCAGCCAUUUGCACAUACGAAGGAGGCGGGAUCGUUAGCGAAGCAGCAAAAGGGUCUUGGUUCACUUUCUGCACGGUUCCAUCAGGUGCAGGGAGCGCUAAUAUAUGGCUGUUGGUCUUACUCGGCAAAGGUAGCGCCACGCUGCUUGAACUCCCACCGGUUAGCUCCGAGGUGCUCACGUGUUGUCUAACAGCUCCUUGAUCGUACAUACCGUUGAGCAGCAACGGGUCUAAACCACCGCCCAUCGCGGCUUUCUGAUGCUCUAGGUUGCUAGCUGUCUCGACCAACGCAAGCUCCCAAUCAGCCUUACCUUGCUCCGCAGCUGGAUUCUGCCAAGCUGAUGUCACCUCGCUGUUAUCAGAAGAGAACGCUUCCCAUUUUCCGUUACUACUAGCAGGACCGGCGAAAAGAGCAAGAGCAAACUUGUUCCCUUGGUCAUCAACACUAACACCAUCCUCCCUCAAGUCAACUAGAUCAUUAGUUACUUGCGGUUGCUCCGGCUUCACCUCUGGCUUUGGUGGACGAGCAUUAAGGCUUUGAGCGCGACGAUCCAGUCGCGAGUUUUGCCGAGGCGGCGGGCGACGGAGGUGACGCAGGCGUGGACGUAGCCGCGGGAGAGGGAGGUGAGGCUGAGGAUCUCGCGGAUGUACUUCUCGGUGGACUGGUCGUCGUCGUGGCUUGUGGCUUUGACGAUGGCGACUUCCAGAUCUGGAGCUAUGUUGCUGGCGACCUUGGCUAUGCUGAUGCUCGUCUGGUCCUUCACCACGCCGAUCGCUUUGCGUAUGCUCAACGCCAUGGUGGUUAGGUUUGACUCAAACUCUUCAAUUGAAAAAAAAAACAGAGCAAAAAAAGAAAAAAACAGAGCAAGUUCGUUGAGAGAUUGAAGGAGAUUUCG
rnacentral:lncRNA from 1 species